rnacentral:tRNA from 1 species
AGGACUGUAGCUCAGGGGUAGAGCGUUGCAUUGACACUGCAAAGGUCGGCGGUUCGAAACCGCCCAGUCCUA